GCUAUCUUCUUUCUUAAUUAUGGAUGCGAUACUCAGAGAAAUGUCAGCAACUACUCAGUAGAAUGGAAAGAUUCAUCAAAUAUGCAUUCCAUUUCUGAUAGAAAUGGCUAGUGAAAAGAAAAAUGGCAGUUAAUAACCCUGCUCUGCAUUCUUCUUGAGACACAGAGUUGACCAUGACAUUGUUUGAUCAAAACUAAUCUUCCAGGCAGUUCAACUUGGUCACUCCAAUGCAGCGGGACGACAGAGAGAAUUAGAAGGGUAAAAGUGAGAAAACUAAUGGGUAAAGAAAAAUCUGAGUAUGCAAGUAAAACCUGCACAGGAAAGCAGGGCUUCUGCUUUAUUUCACCAAGAAUGUUAUUAUUUCACCAAGAAUAAUGGUUACUUGGAAAUAAAAGCACCUUCUCUCUA